rnacentral:rRNA from 1 species
UACGCUGGCGGCACGCCUAACACAUGCAAGUCGAACGAAGUAGCAAUACUUAGUGGCAGACGGGUGAGUAACAUGUAGGUAUCUGCCCUUUGGCCUGGAAUAACACGAGGAAACUUGUGCUAAUACCGGAUAAGUCUUUACGGAGAAAGCUUUAUGCACCAUUGGAUGAGCCUGCACUUGAUUAGUUUGUUGGUGGGGUAAUGGCCUACCAAGACUGUGAUCAAUAGCUGAUUUGAGAGGAUGAUCAGCCACAUUGGGACUGAGACACGGCCCAAACUCCUACGGGAGGCAGCAGUGGGGAAUCUUGCACAAUGGAGGAAACUCUGAUGCAGCGAUGCCGCGUGAGUGAAGAAGGCCUUUGGGUUGUAAAGCUCUUUCGUCGGGGAAGAAAAUGACUGUACCCGAAUAAGAAGGU